GAGGCAAUGAGGACACUCUGGCAGGGCAGCUGAGCUGGGUGGAUCCUUGUUCUGUCACCAAGCCUUUAAGUCACAUGCUGACAUGUUACGGUCCUGCCUAGGACCCUGGCCACAAAUACUUAUGAUACUCAACUGGGAAUAACCCAGCUGAUGGGGAAAGAACUCAGAAAGAAGUCAGCACCUGCACCUUGGCAAACUGAAGAACAGCCAAUUUGAUGAGUGAAAACUCCACUUGUGAUCUAGUGGCGUUUUAGGACAACGGGCCCCUCCUGGAUACUCUAGAGAAGCCCAAGUCACCUUUUUCCUUCCUGUUUGCCAUAGCUCCGGGUGUAGGGGUAGAUCAGAAGAUUCUGGAAAAGGCAGAACACCAGAGAACUCAAGAUGUACUGAUAUUUUGCCAAUUUCCUUCAUCAACAA